rnacentral:misc_RNA from 1 species
UUUCCGUAGGUGAACCUGCGGAAGGAUCAUUACAGUAGUCGCCUGGGUUGCCGCAAGGCCUCCCGGGUAACCUACCACCCUUUGUUUAUUACACUUUGUUGCUUUGGCAGGCCUGCCCUCGGGCUGCUGGCUCCGGCCGGCGAGCGCUUGCCAGAGGACCUAAGCUCUGUUUGUCUAUACUGUCUGAGUACUAUAUAAUAGUUAAAACUUUCGACAACGGAUCUCUUGGUUCUG